UGACACCUAAAUAUGCAACCAAGGGCUGAAACGCAAACAAAAUGCAUAUAACUAGCUGAACACAUUGGAUUUCAGCAUGUCAGAUGAUUGAUUUAGCACCCCACAUCUACCAGAAAGAAAUAAUCCCACUGAAUGCCCAGAAGUGAAAUACUUUGAUAUUUACAACUAUUUGAUCAAAUCACCAGGCUCAGUUUUUUUUUUGUUUGGCAGCUUAUAAAAACUUAGUUCUGGGUUCUUUACCCUGUUGUUAGCGUAUCCCACCGCAAAGCAGCUUUUAGGCAUUCUUCUGUUGGAGGAGACAAGGAGGCACCUUCAUGCAAUACAAAGACAGUGGAUAGUGAUGAAUUGUUUUCUCCUCCGGUGUGGGCGGUAUAUAAUUGUGCGCGGUCUCUAUAUCAGAUAUGAAAUUAGAUACACAACACAAAUAUUUUAACAAAGUAGGGCAACCUUGUACCCUGUUUUCUCUUGGGUAGAUCUGCAGAACUUCUAAAUUGCAGGUUAAUAAACAUACUUAGGUCUGCUGUUAAUGGGUUAUUUUUUAGACGUGCUGACGUUGCUGACGUACUCCGGUAAGCGUGUCGACUCAUUUCCGUUUCCGGUGCUUGUGUGUUGGUAGCGUGUUGUGCUGCUCUCGCUAAAUACCAGUUACAUUUGUUAGAUUACAGCGGCCAACUGUACGCUAUGUAAAAUUACUUAUUCUUACGGUAAUUUUGCCUAAGCACUCACAUUUCUUUCCAUCUUUUAGUGACUGCUGUUCAAUCUCAUAGUUGUUCAAAAGUUUUUGUAGCUGACACUACAGUACUUUAGCUUA